rfam:Bacillus sp. SGD-V-76 genomic scaffold Scaffold24, whole genome shotgun sequence.
GCGUUUGGGUAAUUGCUGCAUCUCUUUGAAGAUGUAGAGGAAAGUCCAUGCUCGCACAGGCUGAGAUGCUUGUAGUGUUCGUGCCUAGUGAAGUCAUAAGCUAGGGUAGCGUAACUGCUAACGGCGGGGAAAAAGCCUAAGUCUUAGGAUAUGGUUUGAAUACUCUGAAAGUGCCACAGUGACGAAGUCUCAUUAGAAAUAAUGAGAGUGGAACGAGGUAAACCCCACGAGCGAGAAACCCAAAUAAUGGUAGGGGAACUUUCCCAAAGGAAUUGAACAGAGGGAAGGACAAAAUGCACGCAUUUUGUAGAUAGAUAAUUACCACCGGAGUACGAGGUAGCUAGCCGCUUGUAGUACAAAGGAACAAAACAUGGCUUACAGAA